rnacentral:tRNA from 1 species
AAAAUCGGUAGACGCUACGGACUUAAAAUCCGUUGGCUUUUUAGACCGUGAGGGUUCAAGUCCCUCUACCCCCA